rnacentral:rRNA from 1 species
UCGAAACUGGCAGGCUUGAGUCUUGUAGAGGGGGGUAGAAUUCCAGGUGUAGCGGUGAAAUGCGUAGAGAUCUGGAGGAAUACCGGUGGCGAAGGCGGCCCCCUGGACAAAGACUGACGCUCAGGUGCGAAAGCGUGGGGAGCAAACAGGAUUAGAUACCCUGGUAGUCCACGCCGUAAACGAUGUCUACUUGGAGGUUGUGCCCUUGAGGCGUGGCUUCCGGAGCUAACGCGUUAAGUAGACCGCCUGGGGAGUACGGCCGCAAGGUUAAAACUCAAAUGAAUUGACGGGGGCCCGCACAAGCGGUGGAGCAUGUGGUUUAAUUCGAUGCAACGCGAAGAACCUUACCUGGUCUUGACAUCCACAGAAGAAUCCAGAGAUGGAUUUGUGCCUUCGGGAACUGUGAGACAGGUGCUGCAUGGCUGUCGUCAGCUCGUGUUGUGAAAUGUUGGGUUAAGUCCCGCAACGAGCGCAAC